AUUGAACGCUGGCGGCAGGCCUAACACAUGCAAGUCGAACGAGUGGCGGACGGGUGAGUAAUGUCUGGGCAACUGCCUGAUGGAGGGGGAUAACUACUGGAAACGGUAGCUAAUACCGCAUACCAUCAGAUGUGCCCAGGUGGGAAUAGCUUGUUGGUGGGGUAACGGCUCACCAAGGUGACGAUCCCGAGCUGGUCUGAGAGGAUGACCAGCCACACGGGAACUUAGACACGGUCCAGACUCCUACGGGAGGCAGCAGUGGGGAAUAUUGCACAAUGGGCGAAAGCCUGAUGCAGCCAUGCCGCGUGUAUGAAGAAGGCCUUCGGGUUGUAAAGUACUUUCAGCGGGGAGGCGUUACCCGCAGAAGAAGCACCGGCUAACUCCGUGCCAGCAGCCGCGGUAAUUC
rnacentral:rRNA from 1 species